UUUCCGUAGGUGAACCUGCGGAAGGAUCAUUAUUGUAUAACCGAGGUGCGAGGGCUGUCGCUCACCCGAGAGGUGGUGCACGCCCGAGUGCCCUCACACACAUCCAUCUCACCCCUAUGUGCACAACCGCGGGGGUCCCCCUUUGGCCUGUGCGGAGGGGGGCUUACGUUUUCACACAAACUUUGUAUGCAGUGUAGAAUGUAUUUUUUGUUUUUGCGAUCACGCAAUCAAUACAACUUUCAACAACGGAUCUCUUGGCUCUC
rnacentral:misc_RNA from 1 species